rnacentral:rRNA from 1 species
GACGAACGCUGGCGGCGUGCUUAACACAUGCAAGUCGAACGGUAAGGCCCUUCGGGGUACACGAGUGGCGAACGGGUGAGUAACACGUGGGUGAUCUGCCCUGCACUUCGGGAUAAGCCCGGGAAACUGGGUCUAAUACCGGAUAGGACCACUGCCUGCAUGGGUGGUGGUGGAAAGCUUUUGCGGUGUGGGAUGGGCCCGCGGCCUAUCAGCUUGUUGGUGGGGUGAUGGCCUACCAAGGCGACGACGGGUAGCCGGCCUGAGAGGGUGACCGGACACACUGGGACGGAGCUACGGCCCAGACUCCUACGGGAGGCAGCAGUGGGGAAUAUUGCACAAUGGGCGCAAGCCUGAUGCAGCGACGCCGCGUGAGGGAUGACGGCCUUCGGGUUGUAAACCUCUUUCAGCACCGACGAAGCGCAAGUGACGGUAGGUGCAGAAGAAGGACCGGCCAACUACGUGCCAGCCGCCGCAGUAA